rnacentral:tRNA from 1 species
UCUCUCAUGGCGAUGUGGUAACGCGCCCCAACUAGAGAUCGGGGAGUCGUGAGUUCGAUUCUCACUGAGAAGA